GGCAGUUCUCAGGCGACACAUUCUGGAAUCGGGCUCCCUCCUCUCUGGUUCCAGGUGUGUCACCCGAGAACCACU
rfam:Myotis brandtii contig229028, whole genome shotgun sequence.